rnacentral:rRNA from 1 species
UACGGAGGGGGCCAGCGUUGUUCGGAAUUAUUGGGCGUAAAGGGCGCGUAGGCGGCUUGGUAAGUCCGUUGUGAAAUCCCUCGGCUCAACCGAGGAACUGCGACGGAUACUGCUUGGCUUGAGUCCCGGAGAGGGUAGCGGAAUUCCCAGUGUAGCGGUGAAAUGCGUAGAUAUUGGGAGGAACAUCGGUGGCGAAGGCGGCUACCUGGACGGGUACUGACGCUGAGGCACGAAAGUGUGGGGAUCAAACAGG